CUCAGAACGAACGCUGGCGGCAGGCUUAACACAUGCAAGUCGAACGCAUCCUUCGGGGUGAGUGGCAGACGGGUGAGUAACACGUGGGAACGUACCCCUUUGUUCGGAAUAACCCUGGGAAACUAGGGCUAAUACCGGAUACGGCCGAGAGGCGAAAGGUUUACUGCAGAGGGAUCGGCCCGCGUCCGAUUAGCUAGUUGGAGAGGUAAUGGCUCACCAAGGCAUCGAUCGGUAGCUGGUCUGAGAGGAUGACCAGCCACAUUGGGACUGAGACACGGCCCAAACUCCUACGGGAGGCAGCAGUGGGGAAUAUUGGACAAUGGGCGCAAGCCUGAUCCAGCCAUGCCGCGUGAGUGAUGACGGCCUUAGGGUUGUAAAGCUCUUUUGCCUGGGAAGAUAAUGACGGUACCAGGAGAAUAAGCCCCGGCUAACUUCGUGCCAGCAGCCGCGGUAAUACGAAGGGGGCUAGCGUUGUUCGGAUUUACUGGGCGUAAAGGGCGCGUAGGCGGACCUGUAAGUCAGGGGUGAAAUCCCAAGGCUCAACCUUGGAACUGCCUUUGAUACUGUGGGUCUUGAGUCCGGGAGAGGUGAGUGGAACUGCGAGUGUAGAGGUGAAAUUCGUAGAUAUUCGCAAGAACACCAGUGGCGAAGGCGGCUCACUGGCCCGGAACUGACGCUGAGGCGCGAAAGCGUGGGGAGCAAACAGGAUUAGAUACCCUGGUAGUCCACGCCUUAAACGAUGGAUGCUAGCCGUUGGUCAGCUUGCUGAUCCGUGGCGCCGUUAACACAUAAGC
rnacentral:rRNA from 1 species